AGCUCAAAGCAAGGUCCCUCCCAUGGAUUCAGGCAUUGCUGAGAGUAUCCCAGGGGUCCCUGUCCCUGCUAGACAUGGAGCUCUCUAAUGGACUGUAAUUGGGUUCUAAAAGUGGUGCUCCAAGUGCCAAAGAAGUGUGGGAUUGGGAUUAAGAAAUGAGCAGUGAUGGUCCAAUUGGCUGUUUUCUCUUGAAUGUAAUGGUAAGAGCUGCAGGAGUGCCAGGUGUGUGUUCCAGUCCCCAGCAUUUGGUUUGCACAUGUCCUGGUCAGACACAGGUCCAACUUCCUCAGUCCUUAACCCAACAGAGAGGGAAUGAAGGACUGGCAGUGUUAAGGUGACUGGUGUGACAGGGGUUAAACUGGGAAAACAUUGGGGAAUUCCUGAGUUUGUCUCUUUGCCCAACUCACCCAAACCUGUGCUAGGAAGAGACUUCCUGAAAAACUUGAGGCAGAAAUGAAAUGGAAAACUGGGGAUAAUGAAACUGUAAUUGCUGAAACUAAAUGUGUCCAAGCAGCAGCUCUUGUUGUGCAGGGAAUAACUCCUGUCAGCAGCAAGGUCCUGACUGAAGUGGCAGCUGCAGUUGUUCCUGUGGUGUGGGCCAGUGGAAUUGCAGGAGAGUGGAAGAGGGCAGAACCUGUAGGUAUUACCCCUAAUGUGGGAUCUCUCCUGGUAAGGCAAAGCCAGUAUCCUUUAAAAUCAGAAUGCCAGCUUGGAUUGGUUGCAGUAACAGCUGAAUUUGCUCAUCCUGGUUUGCUUGUAGGAUGUGAAUGCAAGAACCUGCCAAGAAACCAAUGUCCAAGAUGAUUGAUUAGUGCAGGACCUGAGAGAACCACCUUGAAUGACAACCUCGAGCAGUUUCCAGUAUUGGACUGAAAAGAUGGCCUUUGCUGCAUCUCCUUGAGCAAGGAAAGCCAAGAAACCUUUGCUUUGGAAGGAGAAAAUCUGGAAAGCAGGAAGGAAGAAAAGCAGCCCCCUGACUCCUCCCUGAGCCCCAGACAGCCCAUGAACUGCCUUCUGGGAAUGGUAGGACAGGCUGGACUCUGGAUUGCUCCCUCUGGAUGUGUGGAACUCCAGGAACUCCUGGUGCCGCCUGGGCCGAUGGAUUGGACGCCCCAGCCCCUCCGUUCCUGCCCAGCCCCUGGGUCCGUGUCCAGUGGUGGCACUGCCAGCCCUGCAGGUGAAGUGGGAAGGGCCUUUCCAGGUCUUGUGGGUCACAUUGAUAGCAGCUGAAGUUGCAGAAAAAGGACCUGGGGUCUGUUGUUCUUUAGUUCAGAAAGCUCCUUUUGGUUGGUGAGCAGGACAAAGUGGAUCCUUCAGAGUUCCCAUCCGUGUUUGUGUCUCAGCCUGCGUUAGGAUUCAGGGCUGUGGCUGUUGUUGUCACUGAGGAGUCAAACUCUGCUUUUAAUCAUGAGACACUGGCCUAAUGGCUGACUGUCAAGAAUAAAUGGGGGAAUGCUCUCUGAGUGUUGAGAUGUAACAAGAGCUGAUCCUUUUUGCAGUGGGAUGUAGCCUGGGAACUGCACAGAGCUGAGCCAAGGGAUUGAAGGGGACCAACCAAAGGAGGUGAAGAAAGAAGGAAGAAGGGAAGUGAGGCAGCAGCCAAGCAGUAGCAAGUUGCUGUGUAAGCAGGCCAGGCCAAAGCCCUGAUCCAGCCCAGCUCUGCCAAGUGCCCUGGGCUGGGAGCAGCCAAAGGCAAGAGGCUGCAGCCCCGCCGGCCGGGCUGGGGGCUCCUGGUGCUGCCCGUGGGGUGGGGUAAGUCAGAGGGACACGUUUCUCUCCUCCUGCUGUUGGCAUUUGCUCCCUGGGCAGUGGAUGUGUAAGGA